rnacentral:hammerhead_ribozyme from 1 species
AGUCCCAAAUAGGACGAAACGCGCGUCCUGUAU